rnacentral:rRNA from 1 species
AGAGUUUGAUCCUGGCUCAGAUUGAACGCUGGCGGCAUGCUUUACACAUGCAAGUCGAACGGCAGGCGCGGGGGCAACCCUGGCGGCGAGUGGCGAACGGGUGAGUAAUGCAUCGGAACGUAUCCUGUAAUGGGGGAUAACGUAGCGAAAGUUACGCUAAUACCGCAUACGCUCGAGAGAGGAAAGUGGGGGAUCGCAAGACCUCACGUUAUAGGAGCGGCCGAUGUCCGAUUAGCUAGUUGGUGGGGUAAAGGCCUACCAAGGCGACGAUCGGUAGCUGGUCUGAGAGGACGAUCAGCCACACUGGGACUGAGACACGGCCCAGACUCCUACGGGAGGCAGCAGUGGGGAAUUUUUGGACAAUGGGCGAAAGCCUGAUCCAGCCAUGCCGCGUGCGGGAAGAAGGCCUUCGGGUUGUAAACCGCUUUAGUCCGGGAAAAAGGGGUGCGAGGAUAAUACCCUUGUGCUUUGAUGGUACUGGAAGAAUAAGCACCGGCUAACUACGUG